AUAUGAAGUUGGAAUGGAAGGUAUUGCCUCUGCUUGGGCAGGAGGGGA
rnacentral:sRNA from 1 species